GCACUUGUAGCUCAGCGUUCAGAGCGCCGGCCUUGUAAGCCGGACGGCGGGGGUUCAACUCCCCCCUUCUGCU
rnacentral:tRNA from 1 species